CCUACGGGAGGCAGCAGUGGGGAAUAUUGCACAAUGGGGGAAACCCUGAUGCAGCAACGCCGCGUGAGUGAAGACGUUUUUCGGUAUGUUAAGCUCUUUCUGCCGGGAAGAAGAAAGACGGUACCUGACUAAGAAGCCCCGGCUAACUACGUGCCAGCAGCCGCGGUACUACGGAGGGGGCAAGCGUUAUCCGGAUGUACUGGGGGUAAAGGGAGCGUAUACGGUUGUGCAAGUCUGAAGUGAAAGCCAGUGGCUCAACCGCGGAACUGCUUUGGAAACUGUAUAGCUAGAGUACUGGAGAGGUAGGCGGAAUUCCUGGUGUAGCGGUGAAAUGCGGAGAUAUCAGGAGGAACACCAGUGGCGAAGGCAGCCUACUGGACAGAUACUGACGUUGAGGCACGAAAGCGUGGGGAGCAAACAGGAUUAGAUACCCCAGUAGUC
rnacentral:rRNA from 1 species